CCUCCCUCUCUCAGAGGAUGAAGAGGGGAAGGGAGAGAUGAGGGGAGGCUCUGCACAGCUGUGGGGCCACAGCAGGCAGGAUCGGUGAUGACCUCCACCAUGGCCUGGUCCCCUCUCCUCCUCAGCCUCCUCGCUCACUGCACAGGGUCCUGGGCCCAGUCUGUGCUGACUCAGCCGCCCUCCGUGUCUGGGAGCCUGGGCCAGAGGGUCACCAUCUCCUGCACUGGAAGCAGCUCCAACAUCGGGGGUGGUAGUUAUGUGAGCUGGUUCCAACAGCUCCCAGGAAAAGCCCCCAGAACCAUCAUCUAUGGUAAUAGUAACAGACCCUCAGGGGUCCCGGAUCGAUUCUCUGGCUCCAAGUCUGGCAGCUCAGCCACCCUGACCAUCACUGGGCUCCAGGCUGAGGACGAGGCUGAGUAUUACUGCCAGUCCUAUGACAGCAGUCUCAAUGAGAUGGAAGAACCCCUCAACAGAGGACUCAUCCAUUUAUAG